AGUUUACGUGAAUUAGAGGUAUGAAAGCAGGGCUUAUUAUCCUUCCAUGUUUACUGAAUUUUAAUAAUCAUUCUUUAAAGUAAAGUUUUCACAAGAAAUUCAUCGUAACUGACAGUUCAGUUGCAAGCUAGCUGCCGUGAGGCUUGAAUGCACUGCAUCAGCACUGUCAGAGCACUGUCGGAACUGUGACUGUGUGUGAGCUGAGCUGAGCUAUUAUAGAGUAGGCCUAGACUCGACAACACUUUGAAGUUGCUCUUAUUGCCCCGAUUUCAAUAUAGUUUUGUUACUAUAGAGGUAUGAAACCUGAGCUUAGAUUGUGAUUAUUCGGGCCAUGUAUAGUUGUAUGCUGAAUUUCGAUAAUCAUUUUUCAAAGUAAAUUUUUAACAAGAAAAUCAGACGGUCGUUAUAGCUGGAUAGAAUACUUUUACUAUGCUACAGUUCCUUCAUCAAAUCAAUGCAUUAAAACGGGUAUUACGGUGUGCCAAUCAGCAUAUAUUAUUCAAAUCGUCUAGACCCUAUAUGAAAAUAAUCAAAUUUUAUUUUUGAUAGCACAUUUAGGCCUCUUUCUAUUUACCCCCCCCCCCCCCCUAGCUGCCUAUAUCCAGAUUUCAGUUUGAACUUGGAGGAUAAUUUGUCUGUCAUGUUUAGUUUUAAAAAUAACAUUACAUAACAUAACUAGUAUUAGUGAGAAGUUCACAAGCACAAAUCGGCGUCUUCAAUUGCAACUCGCAUUAAAAUAGCCUGAUUUUCGUAGCCGGACUAUGCUUCCUACAACGUCGGCAAAAAAAAAAAAAAAAAAAAAUGGCCGCCGAGUAUUCGCCUGUAAGCCUGGGAGUGUACUUGAGUACCUCAUCACACGGUUAUGCACAGCCUUAACCGAGAUGAAAGCAUUUUCUUAUUCUUCAGAAAAGGAGUGGAAAUAUAAUAAAGUGACACAGACCUGCCAACCAGUACAAUUUAGUCGUAUUUCGUACGACUUUUAGAAGCAAAUACGACAGUAGGAUUUUCCUCAAUAUUCAAAAAUAAAAAAAACAAUGUUGUAUUUUGUAUUUUGUGUGUGUUUGCCAUUUUCAAUGGCAAAAAUGCCCAUUCUGUCCUGUAAAGUAUCCUACAAGCAUCUCAUAUCGGCAAUUUGGGGAUGUUCAUUGCAUCGUUUAUCGAACACAACAAUUAUGCAUAUUCAACCAAUGAUCCAUAACAAAAAUUACUCCUGUAUGUAGGAACUGUAAGAGGCAUUGAUCCGCGUAACAGUCCUGUUUAUUUUUAAGAAUACAACUUUUGCCAGUAAAAUACAACUUUGGGGAUUAAAGAAUACAGUUUUUGAACAGGGGUUGUUAGGUCUGGACACAUACAGUUGUACAUGUAUUUGAAUUUUUUUUUUGUAAUCUUCCUAUUUGGCAAAACCACACACAGGAAUUGAUACUAUUCGAGGCCUGUCACAUAUUAGUCAAUUUCAAAGAAACCAAGAGGAUUCUAGUUACUGUGAUCUUCAUAGGCAAUCAAUUGAAUGUCAUGACCAACUUGGUGUUUAUGGCAUAAAUCCAAAUGAUACCACGCACAUCAGUAAUGUACAGGAAAAUGAAGUACCCUAGGGUAUCAGAGCAACCAGGGGCCCCUUCUAACUUCCUGUAGCAACAAAAACACUGGGAGGGAAGGUAAACAGAACAUGAGAAUAGAGAAAGAGAAAAAAAAGCUGAAAAAUAA
rnacentral:lncRNA from 1 species